UGGGGAAUAUUGGACAAUGGGGGAAACCCUGAUCCAGCCAUGCCGCGUGUGUGAAGAAGGCCUUAGGGUUGUAAAGCACUUUCAGUGGGGAGAAAGGUUGUUUACUUAAUACGUAAGCAAAUUGAUGUUACCCACAGAAGAAGCACCGGCUAACUCCGUGCCAGCAGCCGCGGUAAUACGGAGGGUGCAAGCGUUAAUCGGAAUUACUGGGCGUAAAGCGCACGUAGGCGGUUUGAUAAGCCAGCCGUGAAAGCCCCGGGCUCAACCUGGGAAUUGCGGUUGGAACUGUCAAGCUGGAGUACAGUAGAGGGGUGUGGAAUUUCAGGUGUAGCGGUGAAAAUGCGUAGAUAUCUGAAGGAACAUCAGUGGCGAAGGCGACACCCUGGACUGAUACUGACGCUGAGGUGCGAAAGCGUGGGGGAGCAAACAGGAUUAGAUACCC
rnacentral:rRNA from 1 species